GCAUUUAUUACUCUACUACAUUUAUUUUUUUUAUUAAUUUUCUACUCUGUGUGUUGAUAUUGUGAAUAUGUAUUAUAUGUAGAAACAUUAUAUGCAUAAAUUUAAAUAUAGAUGAGAUUUCAUGUAAAGCCUGUUUCACAGCUAGCCGGUUCAAAUUGAGAUUCAUUUUGAAUGGAUCUCUUAAAUAAAAGGUCAAAAUCAGAUGUGCUCUGUAUUUUUCUGGUUUCUAGAGUUCUGCUGCGGCAUUAUGUGGUCUAGCUGUGGUCCACAGGUUUUACAUGUAUGUUUUUCUCCUGGGCUGAACCUUGUCUAACCUUAUGGACCUGUUGUAAUCUAGGUGCAAUGGCUACUAAAGUGCGGAGACAUGAUUCACGGGUCCAUCCUUACCAAAGGAUAGUGACCACAGACAGAGCCGCCACCGGCAACUAACAAAUGACCUCUGAACUCUGAACUCUUCACCCAAUGAUGAGCCGCCCGAGCCUGCCUGCUGAUCAGAUUAACUGGUAAUUGCCUUUUGCUAGCCUGGUGGAUGCAGAGAGAGAGGCACCUGUCCAAGCAGUGAUCCUAACAUAAACCAACACAAAACAAAACAACCCUCCAUACCAACAAGUUGUGUAGUGAUAACAACGAUGAUACUCUUUAUUAUUUUUUAUUAUUAUUGUUUCUUUCUUAUUCUUUUUAAAUCUCAAAUGACUGGGUAAAUGUUAACAGUGAUGUUGCGUUACCCGAAAAUCUGCACUGAAGUUUAAAAGCAAUAAAGAAGCGUCUUCUGCUAAUUCAGCCCUUAAAUGCAUUUAUGCUCAAAAUAAAUGUAAAAAAAAGAGAGAGAAAGAAAUAGAAAGCUUGGUGACCCUAGUUUAAUCAGUCAUAACGCUAAACGGGGCAUCAGCAUCCAGAUUAUGUCUAUACGCUACCCCACACCUAUUUAAAUUAUCACUAUAAAUCAGCAAAAGAAAAAGAAGGAAAGAAAUCUGCACUCACACCAACUUGUGUAUUUCCUGUCCUUCU
rnacentral:lncRNA from 1 species